rnacentral:rRNA from 1 species
CAGCCGCCGCGGGAAAACGUAGGUGGCAAGCGUUGUCCGGAAUUAUUGGGCGUAAAGGGCUCGCAGGCGGUUUCUUAAGUCUGAUGUGAAAGCCCCCGGCUCAACCGGGGAGGGUCAUUGGAAACUGGGAAACUUGAGUGCAGAGGAGGAGAGUGGAAUUCCACGUGUAGCGGUGAAAUGCGUAGAGAUGUGGAGGAACACCAGUGGCGAAGGCGACUCUCUGGUCUGUAACUGACGCUGAGGAGCGAAAGCGUGGGGAGCGAACAGGAUUAGAUACCCGCGUAGUCCCUGUCUCUUAUAC